rnacentral:rRNA from 1 species
UACGUAGGGGGCAAGCGUUGUCCGGAUUUACUGGGUGUAAAGGGUGCUCAGGUGGUCUGAUAAGUCAGGGGUGAAAUCCUGGAGCUCAACUCCAGAACUGCCUUUGAUACUGGAGAGCUUGAGUCCGGAAGAGGUGAGUGGAACUCCGAGUGUAGAGGUGAAAUUCGUAGAUAUUCGGAAGAACACCAGUGGCGAAGGCGGCUCACUGGUCCGGUACUGACGCUGAUGUGCGAAAGCGUGGGGAGCAAACAGG